rnacentral:rRNA from 1 species
UACGUAGGGACCGAGCGUUGUCCGGAAUCAUUGGGCGUAAAGAGCGUGUAGGCGGCCUUUUAAGUCCUGCGUGAAAUCCUGCGGCUCAACCGCAGACGGUCGUGGGAAACUGGAAGGCUAGAGUGCGGGAGAGGAGAGUGGAAUUCCCGGUGUAGCGGUGAAAUGCGCAGAUAUCGGGAAGAACACCCGUGGCGAAGGCGGCUCGCUGGAACGCAACUGACGCUGAGACGCGAAAGCGUGGGGAGCAAACAGG